CAGCCGCCACGGGAAUACGGAGGGAGCUAGCGUUGUUCGGAAUUACUGGGCGUAAAGCGUGCGUAGGCGGUGAGUUAAGUCUGCUGUGAAAUCCCCGGGCUCAACCUGGGAACUGCAUUUGUGACUGCAAGGCUAGAGUGCGGCAGAGGGAGAUGGAAUUCCGCGUGUAGCAGUGAAAUGCGUAGAUAUGCGGAGGAACACCGAUGGCGAAGGCAAUCUCCUGGGCCUGCACUGACGCUCAUGCACGAAAGCGUGGGGAGCAAACAGGAUUAGAUACCCCAGUAGUCCCUGUCUCUUAUAC
rnacentral:rRNA from 1 species